rnacentral:rRNA from 1 species
GCGGCCUAUCAGCUUGUUGGUGAGGUAAUGGCUCACCAAGGCGACGACGGGUAGCCGGCCUGAGAGGGUGACCGGCCACACUGGAACUGAGACACGGCCCAGACUCCUACGGGAGGCAGCAGUGGGGAAUAUUGCACAAUGGGCGCAAGCCUGAUGCAGCAACGCCGCGUGGGGGAUGACGGCCUUCGGGUUGUAAACCCCUUUUAGUAGGGAAGAAGCCUUCGGGUGACGGUACCUGCAGAAAAAGCGCCGGCUAACUACGUGCCAGCAGCCGCGGUAAUACGUAGGGCGCAAGCGUUAUCCGGAAUUAUUGGGCGUAAAGAGCUCGUAGGCGGCUUGUCGCGUCUGCUGUGAAAACUGGAGGCUCAACUUCCAGCGUGCAGUGGGUACGGGCAGGCUAGAGUGCGGUAGGGGAGAUUGGAAUUCCUGGUGUAGCGGUGGAAUGCGCAGAUAUCAGGAGGAACACCGAUGGCGAAGGCAGAUCUCUGGGCCGUAACUGACGCUGAGGAGCGAAAGAGUGGGGAGCGAACAGGCUUAGAUACCCUGGUAGUCCGCUCCGUAAACGUUGGGAACUAGUUGUGGGGGCCUUUCCACGGUCUCCGUGACGCAGCUAACGCAUUAAGUUCCCCGCCUGGGGAGUACGG